UUGAAAGUGCAUAAACGACAAAUA
rnacentral:siRNA from 1 species